UAGGAUUCGCUCUGGACAUGGUAAUGUUGUCAAAUUUUGAUCACACACAACUUGGAUGGUCAUUUUAUCUCUCAGUAACUAUGAAUUCAAUCAUACUUUUUAUGAUUACAAUGGCGAUACCUUGUAGCAUAUAUUUGUGUAAGAAAGAUGGCUAUAGCCCACUGGACUAGAAGCAGAUAAUCGUUAAUUAGAUUUGAAAAGUACCUUCGGAAACAUCAUUUUUGGACAGUUCAUUCUUUGCUUGGUUGAUGGUUGUGCGUAGUCCUAUAAACAAUUGCUUUCACCGCAAACUAAUAUUUUGUUGUGCCUAUUUACGAAGGAAAUGUGCAUUUAGAUAUUUAUAUAUUUAUGGCCUGGUCGGGCCUUGUUCAAUUUUGGA